UCCCAACACAUGAAACACGGCAUGUUUAUCAUACACUUGGCCAUGGGUGAUGAUUCCUAUUAUGAAAUGUAUCUGGAAGAGGAAAAAAGGGGGAAGGGAGGAUAACCUCCCAUGUCAUCUUUUUCUUUCCUGUAUAUUUUAUCAGCAAAGUAGAGGAAGGAUUCAACUAGCAGUAACUCCUAGCUCCAACCAUCGCCAUAGAAAACUUAUGUGACUCUGAAGCCGUGUUCAAGAUAAGUAGGAAAGGACUGGGAACUGAAAUGAUGGCUUCUCGCAUGCUUUUUUAAAAAGUGUUGAGCCAGUAAGCUAAAUACCCGGCCCUGCUUCAGAAUUGGAGCUGUACUGUGACAUGUAAGCCAUUCCAACUCAAAGCAUUAACAUGACUUGAUCCAGGAAGCAAAACUCAUUUAGAAUACCUGGAAACUGAGCUAACCUGACAUUAAAUAACUGCCAUGCAACUAUGUCCCAGUCACCAAGUUCUGAGGUUGUUAAAAACACAAAAUAUACUAAGGCUAGCAUACAGAAAGUAGGAAAAUGUGUGCUGACUAUCCAUGAGGAGGCCAGGGUGUGUGGUAAUUAUCCACCCCAAUGAAAAUCCACUUUUUUCAAUGUGGGAGAAGACACAGAACACAGUGAACAGGAUAUGUUAACUCCCUUUUUAUCACUACUCUGGCCCUAACACGCCAAUGCUUAUUCUGGCACUUCAACUAUCUCAAGCGUGCCAAGUAAACACAGUGCCUUCUGUAAUUACUUCAGAAAAGGAUACCAAGGAAAAUCUCAACUAGAGCCAAAGCAUCAGCAGAGAGCCUCUAUCUGUUUUACUGCAAGGCCUGAUACCAAAACCUUGGCUCAGAAAACAUAUACAUAUUUACCCAUUCUGUGUUAGCCCAAAGAAAAGCACACGCUACAGUGUUUCAAAUACUUUUACCUUGAGUUACUGAACACAAACAAGACUUUUCGAUGGAAGGAGCAGUCUGAGGAUUGUACUAUGAAAGUUUGUCUAGUUGCUAUUUAUCAGAUCUGUCAGGCAGAGUGGAGCACAUUUGCUCCCACAUCCUUGUGCUUAGUAUUCCAGACUAAAUGUGUCCUCUCCCCACUGGGGAUG